CUGCUGGAGAACGCUGCUGGGAAGCCCUAGGGUGUCAAACAGGCUGUGAAAAUGGCAGGUGACGAGGACAACCCUUUUACUUAGAAGCGACCCAUAAGCUCAGCCACAAAGAACAAAACACUAAGGGACAAAUUUUAUGCUAAGGAAAAUGUGUCACCUCCAUAAAACCCUUUUGGAACUCUUAUCAAUUUGCUGAAACACAUGACAGUGCACUGUUCAACCUAGUUCACAACAGUCAACGCUUUACUAAUACAGAACUGCCCUGUUAAACAUUUCCUCUGCUGAUCCUGUACAACUAUUAAUAAAUCUGCACUGGAUAUAAAUUCUAAAGUGGAUUAAUUGAACAUGUCUGUGAAGAUUAAAUGAUGAUGCAUAAAACUAACUGAGCACGGCUGAAACUGGUUCUUUCCAAAGUUAAGGCAGGAACAGACUGGUAGUAAUGUCUCUCAUACAGCAUCACAUCUUGUCUCAAGCAAUCCCUGUGCCUAGCCCCAGCUUCAGUCCAGCCACUGGAACCUUGAAAUAAUCACUUAGUGAGUUUGCAAAAGGGGCACCAGGGGAAGAACCAUUUGUAUGUGUGGAGGAGCAAGUGAAGGGGUCAAGGGAGGGCACUUACAGCUGGACCAAGCUGCCAGCCCAUUUACAGUCCAAAAUCAAGAGGUUGGUAUAAUUCUGGUUCUACCAUCAAUUGAUGUGAGCAAUGGAUAACAGACUCUUCCUUGACAUCCACCAUAUACAGCAUACAGCACAUACCCAAGUCAUCAUUCUAGUGCAGCGGAAGGAUUUACUGAAUUGCAGAGUCUUGUGGAUCAACGUACAUCCUCACUAUCUAGAGAGAUGUCCCAAAGCAUUGAGGGACUAUUGUUCCUCUGGGCUGCUGUCCCACUGACCUUAUUAUCCUUAAGCCGCAUGCUCAUCUUUGUAACACAGAAAGGCUGAGCACCAAAAUUCAACAAUGUUAGCCAAUUUUCCUGAACUGUGAAGCAGCGCUCUAGCAGAGUGGAAAAAAUGUUAUUUCAGCUUCCUAAUUAUGAGAUUCAGUGUGACCUCGUUGGAGACACUGGCCUUAUACAUUUGUUCCACUGCCAAGCGGGGUUAUGGAAUAGGUGUCCUAAUUCAUGGGAACAAUGGGUAACCUCCUCUCUAAAGAGCUAUCCAGACAUCCUAUUGUCCCUUUCAAACAGUGCAGACUGCUUCAGUAUGAAGGAAUCAUGAAUGCUUCCUACAUAACAUGCACUUACAUGCAGGUGAGGUUUUAGUGGUCCAAGGCCACCUCCAGGUUGAGAGCAUGGAGGCCUUUCCUACUUGUGUUUUAAAUUAUGAUGCAGAGUCCUGAUGGCUAUGAGUGCCAUAUCUAUAAUAUUCCGAAAUCUUGAAAAGGAUGUCAACUGAUUGAACCUCUGGAACUACUCCUGUUGCUGUAUCCUUACCACUGGGAAAGACGUACGAUGAUUGUCAUGUGCAAACGUAGAAUCUGUUACUUGAUUGAUACAGAUGUGAACUGAAGACUAGCUGAUAUGGUAGAAGUCCCCUGACAUUAUAUUGAAAGGCACAUUUGUGCAAUUAAUAAGGCCUAAGUUAUCAAAUUGUGCUGUAGAGAUGAAAAGUCUUAAUUUGUAUGUAUAAUUCAAAUGUUGUUAAGAAGUCUUUAAGUUGGCAUCUCUUUAAGUACCCAACUACUGUAAUGUAGCAUUAAGAAAGAACAUGUGGCGUUAUAGCUAGGACACAUUUACACAUUUAGGCUCCAGUGAGUCUAGUGCAGCAAUAAACAGAAGCCAAAGCUGGGAUGCUGAUUGGAUAGAAGUAUGACACAGGGGCUAGAAUUGUAAGUAAAUAGUACAAGUUAAGGCUAGUUUGUUGUAGGGAAGCCAGAAACAUUUUUCCCAUUGUUCAAGAAUUGAAAAUAUUUAAUUAGAAAUUAUUAGUUGUGUUGACAUAGGUGCACAUCUUGGUUUGAAUGUUGUAAAUGCUACCUGCAAAAAGGGUAUAAAAAUAGGGGAGCAUCACUAGGGUUUUUAUACUUGCCAGGGGAUAGCAUUUGUCACAGGGCACUUGCUAAGCGGUCUCUUGCUGGGAGAGAAAGUUGGGAGUUCAUUUUGGGACACUUGCUAGGAAGUUAUCAUCUGCAUAAGACAUUGCAGUCAGUAGGUAAUUGCCAUAGGUUGGGGAUUGCUAUAAGAACCCAGAAGUGACUAAAUUGUCAUAUGCUAGGGAUUGCUGUAAAAAUCUAGAACUAACAUAAUUAUCAUCGGAUUGGGGGUUGCCAUAAGAAUCCAGAUCAGUUUUAGAAUCCAGUAUUAGGGCUAAAGUAAUUGUUUUAAGAAAAUGUGAACAGUCUUUGUCAGGAAGCUGUUUUCAACUUGAGAGAAGGCAGAGAGAGAGACAGAGAGAGAGAGAGAAAGAGCGCUCAGCAGCCGCUGUGAAAGAUGCAGCUUUGUCAGUUAGGGUAGACUGGGAAAUUACAGUUGAAGUCUUGUAGUUACAAAGGGGAUUAAGUAUGUUAGAGUUAAGUUGACUAAGUUAAAACCUUGAAGAAUGUCAUGAGUCGAGGCAAUUUUCAAGGAACCAAGAAGAAUAUUACAGAAGUCCCAGGAUCCAAGGGAAAGACAGUGUACUAUGUCAUAUCCUGACUAGUGAAAUGUUAAGUAUUAAUCUUUGUUGUCCAAUAAGCCUUGUUAGUUUGUGUUCUAAAUUAGUGAUUGUUCUUUUUGCCAAUAAAGUUAUUCCCUGACAAGAA